GAUGAACGCUAGCUACAGGCCUAACACAUGCAAGUCGAGGGGCAUCGGGCGUCGGACUUGUCCGACGUGCCGGCGACCGGCGAAUGGGUGAGUAACGCGUAUCCAACCUGCCCGCCAGCCAGGGACAGCCUCCCGAAAGGGAGAUUAAUACCUGACGUUGUGACGAUGGGGCAUCCUGUUGUCACGGAAGAUUUAUCGUUGGUGGAUGGGGAUGCGUCCGAUUAGCUGGUUGGUACGGUAACGGCGUACCAAGGCUACGAUCGGUAGGGGUUCUGAGAGGAAGGUCCCCCACAUUGGAACUGAGACACGGUCCAAACUCCUACGGGAGGCAGCAGUGAGGAAUAUUGGUCAAUGGGCGAAGCCUGAACCAGCCAAGUAGCGUGAGGGAAGACUGCCCUAUGGGUUGUAAACCUCUUUUGUUUGGGAGCAAAGUGCGCCACGUGUGGUGUAUUGCGAGUACCAUUCGAAUAAGCAUCGGCUAAUUCCGUG
rnacentral:rRNA from 1 species